rnacentral:rRNA from 1 species
GGAAGUAAAAGUCGUAACAAGGUUUCCGUAGGUGAACCUGCGGAAGGAUCAUUACAAGUGAGGCUACCGAACGCUGGAAACAGCGGUUAGGAGCUUACACCCACCCGUGUUUACAUACUAUUGUUGCUUUGGCGGGCCGUGGCCUCCACUGCGGGCUCUGCUCGUGUGUGCCCGCCAGAGAACCAAACUCUGAAUGUUAGUGAUGUCUGAGUACUAUCUAAUAGUUAAAACUUUCAACAACGGAUCUCUUGGUUCUGGCAUCGAUGAAGAACGCAGCGAAAUGCGAUAAGUAAUGUGAAUUGCAGAAUUCAGUGAAUCAUCGAAUCUUUGAACGCACAUUGCGCCCUGUGGUAUUCCGCAGGGCAUGCCUGUUCGAGCGUCAUUUAACCACUCACGCCUAGCGUGGUAUUGGGGCACGCGGUCUCCGCGGCCCUCAAAAUUAGUGGCGGCGCCGGUGGGCUCUAAGCGUAGUACAUACUCCCGCUAUAGAGUUCCCCCGGUGGCUCGCCAGAACCCCCAAUUUUUACAGGUUGACCUCGGAUCAGGUAGGGAUACCCGCUGAACUUAAGCAUAUC